rnacentral:rRNA from 1 species
CCUACGGGUGGCAGCAGUCGAGAAUCAUUCACAAUGGGGGAAACCCUGAUGGUGCGACGCCGCGUGGGGGAAUGAAGGUCUUCGGAUUGUAAACCCCUGUCAUGUGGGAGCAAAUUAAAAAGAUAGUACCACACGAGGAAGAGACGGCUAACUCUGUUCCAGCAGCCGCGGUAAUACAGAGGUCUCAAGCGUUGUUCGGAAUCACUGGUCGUAAAGCGUGCGUAGGCUGUUUCGUAAGUCGUGUGUGAAAGGCGCGGGCUCAACCCGCGGACGGCACAUGAUACUGCGAGACUAGAGUAAUGGAGGGGGAACCGGAAUUCUCGGUGUAGCAGUGAAAUGCGUAGAUAUCGAGAGGAACACUCGUGGCGAAGGCGGGUUCCUGGACAUUAACUGACGCUGAGGCACGAAGGCCAGGGGAGCGAAAGGGAUUAGAUACCCUUGUAGUC